GACGAACGCUGGCGGCGUGCCUAAUACAUGCAAGUAGAACGCUGAAGGAGGAGCUUGCUUCUCUGGAUGAGUUGCGAACGGGUGAGUAACGCGUAGGUAACCUGCCUGGUAGCGGGGGAUAACUAUUGGAAACGAUAGCUAAUACCGCAUAAGAGUAGAUGUUGCAUGACAUUUGCUUAAAAGGUGCAAUUGCAUCACUACCAGAUGGACCUGCGUUGUAUUAGCUAGUUGGUGGGGUAACGGCUCACCAAGGCGACGAUACAUAGCCGACCUGAGAGGGUGUUCGGCCACACUGGGACUGGGACACGGCCCAGACUCCUACGGGAGGCAGCAGUAGGGAAUCUUCGGCAAUGGACGGAAGUCUGACCGAGCAACGCCGCGUGAGUGAAGAAGGUUUUCGGAUCGUAAAGCUCUGUUGUAAGAGAAGAACGAGUGUGAGAGUGGAAAGUUCACACUGUGACGGUAUCUUACCAGAAAGGGACGGCUAACUACGUG
rnacentral:rRNA from 1 species